rnacentral:lncRNA from 1 species
ACAGGGUCGAGUUAGGUUCUUGAAGUAGCCUGACCGAUACAAGGCUAGUUGAGUUCUAGGGGCUAGAACUCUUGAAGCAAGGUGAAGGAGGAGGAGGCUGUCUUUGGUCUAAUUUCUAUGUGGAUCACCAUUGGAGGAUAGACACUUGGAUGCCUCAUAAAAAUUGAGAUUAGCACUUAGGUAUUCUUUUUAUCCAAAUUUAAUUUAAUUAUACUUUGAUUGUUAUAGUCAAGG